AUUGAACGCUGGCGGCAUGCCUUACACAUGCAAGUCGAACGGUAACAGGUCUUCGGAUGCUGACGAGUGGCGAACGGGUGAGUAAUACAUCGGAACGUGCCUAGUAGUGGGGGAUAACUACUCGAAAGAGUGGCUAAUACCGCAUGAGAUCUACGGAUGAAAGCAGGGGAUCGCAAGACCUUGUGCUACUAGAGCGGCCGAUGGCAGAUUAGGUAGUUGGUGGGAUAAAAGCUUACCAAGCCGACGAUCUGUAGCUGGUCUGAGAGGACGAUCAGCAAAACUGGGACUGAGACACGGCCCAGACUCCUACGGGAGGCAGCAGUGGGGAAGUUUGGACAAUGGGCGCAAGCCUGAUCCAGCAAUGCCGCGUGCAGGAUGAAGGCCUUCGGGUUGUAAACUGCUUUUGUACGGAACGAAAAGCCCUGGGUUAAUACCCUGGGGUCAUGACGGUACCGUAAGAAUAAGCACCGGCUAACUACGUGCCAGCCGCCGCCGUAACAC
rnacentral:rRNA from 1 species